rnacentral:rRNA from 1 species
GACAGAGGCCACGAGCGUUAGGCGGAAUCACUGGGCUUAAAGCGUGUGUAGGCGGGCGCGUAAGUGUCUUGUGAAAUCCCCCGGCUCAACCGGGGAACUGCUGGGCAUACUGCGUGCCUUGGGCCAAUUAGGGGCAGCCGGAACAAACGGUGGAGCGGUGAAAUGCGUAGAUAUCGUUUGGAACGCCGACGGCGAAAGCAGGCUGCUGGGAUUGUGCCGACGCUGAGACACGAAAGCCAGGGGAGCGAACGGG